GUGCCGGGAUCCGAGCGAGGCGCUCUCAAGAGCGCAACCACCCCGUGCGUGGGGGAAUCUCUCUCGCUCCUCUAUAUAUACACGUCGGGCUGGUUUUCCCCCCUGACAUAUGCUAAUCCUGAAGCCGAUGAUCGCCGUCGAGAUGAGGCGUUUGAAAUCCUAAACCCAGCUUCUCCGUCCCCACCUCACACCUUUUCCCUCCGCCUCGAUCUGAAAUGACGGAGGGGAGUUCCUAAGGUGCCCCAGCCAUGCUCGCUCGCUUUCACACACACACGCCCCUUCUAAGUUAGCAGCCUUGGAAACACCCCUCCCAUCCACCGCGAUCACCACCAGUCCCUCCCUCCCUCCGCGCCACACAAGCACACACGGCUGUUGUAGAAGCAAAGAAGGAUGCCGUGGCUUCCCUGCCGCCUUUUGAUGUUCAACCUUCUCGCCAGUGAUAAAUCGAAAAGGCGCGAAAAGCCCACCGUUUGGCAGGAGGAGGAGGAGGAGGAGGAGGGUUGGACCUGGGGAGCUUGCAGUGCAUUACGUGGACAGGUGCAAGGAAAGUCACCAUGUAAAUCUGGGAGAUCAAAUGGAUGUGGCUGCUUUGCUAUAUUUGCUGGAGAGAGGUCUGGGGCUAAUUAAUUGGCAGGUGGCUUAAAGCAGUGGAACACAUGAUUCCAAAGAAGUCUCCUAUCCAGGUACUGACCAGACAUACAACUGCUUAGCUUCAGCGAGGUAGCUGCAUCAUGUGUCCUAAGAUCAUCCCUUCAGGCUAGAUAUUUACUGGCACAGGAGCCUGGCUUUCUUUGCUCUAUAUAUACGUAGAUGGU